rnacentral:rRNA from 1 species
UACGUAGGGGGCAAGCGUUGUCCGGAAUUAUUGGGCGUAAAGCGCGCGCAGGCGGUUGAUUAAGUUUGGUGUUUAAGCCCGGGGCUCAACCCCGGAUCGCACUGAAAACUGGUCGACUUGAGUGUAGGAGAGGAAAGUGGAAUUCCACGUGUAGCGGUGAAAUGCGUAGAGAUGUGGAGGAACACCAGUGGCGAAGGCGACUUUCUGGCCGU